UACGAAGGGGGCUAGCGUUGCUCGGAAUCACUGGGCGUAAAGCGCACGUAGGCGGGUUGUUAAGUCGGGGGUGAAAUCCUGGAGCUCAACUCCAGAACUGCCUUCGAUACUGGCGACCUUGAGUCCGGGAGAGGUGAGUGGAACUCCGAGUGUAGAGGUGAAAUUCGUAGAUAUUCGGAAGAACACCGGUGGCGAAGGCGGCAUCCUGGACCGACACUGACACUGAGGAGCGAAAGCCAGGGGAGCAAACGGG
rnacentral:rRNA from 1 species